UUAUUAUUUCAUAUUUUCUUCAUCUGCAUCCAUUCAUUUGGUUUUCGUCUCCGAGUUCAACUAGUUUGGAGUUUCAUGGUUGUGGUAAAGUUCAACCUGCGUUGGAUAUAAUAUCCAUCUCGGAAUAAAAGUAAAAUAUAUAGCAAAAACAAUCAUAUAUGAUAUGUAGUCAUAGCUUUUACUUAUUUGUAGUAGAUAAUUAUAUUGGAAUCGGAAUGUAAGCAUUAAGCUGACAUGUAUUAACAUAAGAAGAUUUGGUUUAUCCGGUUUGUUCUAUCAGUUGGGUUAUGUUUCAUUUCAGACU